rnacentral:sRNA from 1 species
UGCAUCUGGGGCCUGCGAGGAUGAGAACCUCCGGGGGCAGGAGGUUCGACUCGAGCGAAGCGAGAGAACGUUGCGUCAGCAACGGCCCGCAG